AUGCUCUGACUGCUUAUUGCACCACAUGUGUUUUUCUUUGAAACAAACUUGCUUUGGCGGUGGGCCCAGCCUGCCGCCAGAGGUCUAAACUUACAACCAAUUUUUUAUCAACUUGUCACACCAGAUUAUUACUUAAUAGUCAAAACUUUCAACAACGGAUCUCUUGGUUCUCGCAUCGAUGAAGAACGCAGCGAAAUGCGAUACGUAAUAUGAAUUGCAGAUAUUCGUGAAUCAUCGAAUCUUUGAACGCACAUUGCGCCCUCUGGUAUUCCGGAGGGCAUGCCUGUUUGAGCGUCGUUUCUCCCUCAAACCGCUGGGUUUGGUGUUGAGCAAUACGACUUGGGUUUGCUUGAAAGACGGUAGUGGUAAGGCGGGAUCGCUUUGACAAUGGCUUAGGUCUAACCAAAAACAUUGCUUGCGGCGGUAACGUCCACCACGUAUAUCUUCAAACUUUGACCUCAAAUCAGGUAGGACUACCCGCUGAACUUAAGCAUAUCAAAAGCCGGAGGAA
rnacentral:rRNA from 1 species